rnacentral:lncRNA from 1 species
GUGUUUGAAUUGAAUCCAUACCUCCGUUUCAUAGCGGCGAGCUGUUGUCAGACAUCAAUUGAAUACUCGAUAUGCCUGUUUACUAUCGAUAGUUCCAUUGUGCAUUUUUCAACACUGGUUACCACAGCAACAAAUGUUUGCUAAUUUAACAAUUUUAUUGAAAACAAUUAUCAUAGUAUAAUUUACGUAUUAAAAACGUAGGUUAACCGAUAAACAGUCAUGGCGGAAGCCGCAGCAUGCCAAUUGCAGUACGAGAACAAGGAGGUAGGUACCAAACAGACUGCAUGUAAGAUUCCCAGCGCUCCAUGCUGUCUACACCACAUUUUCUGUGAUCUUUUUUGCAAAUUUCGUAAAUGUUUUAUGUUUUUAGAACUCUAUUCUCUUGCUGCAUGCCGGCGUGCGACUAAUAGGUCUGCUACGUAGUGGGGAAGUUGGAUGGCACGCAAAUGAGUGACCACGCGGAAUGACACAAGCGUCCGAUGACCUGUGCGGUAGCCUAUUAGGCCUCGGUAUCAGACGAUCGAUUCGUGUUACUGGUCCAUCCUGGAUAGAUCUCACAGAUGACAAGGAUGCCAUAAAUACUCUGACUUUGACAAGUCAAGCAGCAGAAACUGAUCCUCAGGCCCAUUGCCAGCGGAUAAGGAUGCGUCAACUGUAGGAGCUCGAUGAGCUGGCCUUGACCUAUGUGCCUGUGCCUGCCAUAGAUCUGGCACAGAUGGUAACUCAGAGCACGAACAAGGAAUCAUAUUUACAAUAAUUGCCGCACUAUAGUUUCGAUAUUGUAAUGGGAUGCGCAGAGAAAGUAAGGUGUAUAUUGAUUUUACCAGAAAUUUUCUUUUUACAUGCUCCUGUUUGGUGUUUUUCAGAAAAUCUAAACCCUUUUCGGCAUCAUGGAGCUGGAGGAUGAGGAUCGUACGCGUCUCUAGCAGGUCUCCAGACAGAUCGCCGCUGGGGCCCGAUUCGCCAACUAUGUGGUCAAUCUGGAGAGUGAAUGCAACCUUCUUCCAUCCGAAGAUCGAGAAAGGCAAGCAUGAUCCACUCCUCUUUGGGAUGCAAUCAGGACUACGAGUUCUCCAUCUAAGUGGCCGAUUUCCAAUCUGAGACAGAGACCACAUCGCUUUAGGUUAAGCCUAGGUUAAGCAGGCUAGGAUUAUCUAAUAAAACUACAAAUUUUGUAAACAUGGAAUUACC